AGGUGUCGGGGGUUACCCCCUUCGGUGCCGCAGCUAACGCAUUAAGUACUCCGCCUGGGAAGUACGCUCGCAAGAGUGAAACUCAAAGGAAUGGACGGGGACCCGCACAAGUAGCGGAGCAUGUGGUUUAAUUCGAAGCAACGCGAAGAACCUUACCUAAGCGUGACAUCCCAAUGACAUCUCCUUAAUCGGAGAGUUCCUUUCGGGGACAUUGGUGACAGGUGGUGCAUGGUUGUCGUCAGCUCGUGUCGUGAGAUGUUGGGUUAAGUCCCGCAACGAGCGCAACCCUUGUCUUUAGUUGCCAUCAUUAAGUUGGGCACUCUAGAGAGACUGCCAGGGAUAACCUGGAGGAAGGUGGGGAUGACGUCAAAUCAUCAUGCC
rnacentral:rRNA from 1 species